UACAGAGGGUGCAAGCGUUAAUCGGAAUUACUGGGCGUAAAGCGUGCGUAGACGGUAGCGUAAGUCGGGUGUGAAAGCCCCGGGCUCAACCUGGGAAUUGCAUUCGAGACUGCUCUGCUAGGGUGCGGAAGAGGGGGAGCGGAAUUUCCGGUGUAGCGGUGAAAUGCGUAGAUAUCGGAAGGAACACCAGUGGCGAAAGCGGCUCCCUGGUCCAGCACCGACGUUCAGGCACGAAAGCGUGGGGAGCAAACAGG
rnacentral:rRNA from 1 species